UACGUAGGUGGCAAGCGUUGUCCGGAUUUACUGGGCGUAAAGAGCGCGCAGGCGGUCGAAUAAGUCGAAUGUGAAAGCCCCCGGCUCAACUGGGGAGGUCAUUCGAUACUGCUCGACUUGAAGGCGGGAGAGGGAAGCGGAAUUCCCGGUGUAGUGGUGAAAUGCGUAGAUAUCGGGAGGAACACCAGUGGCGAAGGCGGCUUUCUGGCCCGUUCUUGACGCUGAGGCGCGAAAGCUAGGGUAGCAAACAGG
rnacentral:rRNA from 1 species